rnacentral:rRNA from 1 species
UACGAAGGGGGCUAGCGUUGCUCGGAAUCACUGGGCGUAAAGCGCACGUAGGCGGCUUUUUAAGUCAGAGGUGAAAUCCUGGAGCUCAACUCCAGAACUGCCUUCGAUACUGGCGAUCUUGAGUCCGGAAGAGGUGAGUGGAACUCCUAGUGUAGAGGUGGAAUUCGUAGAUAUUAGGAAGAACACCAGUGGCGAAGGCGGCUCACUGGUCCGGUACUGACGCUGAGGUGCGAAAGCGUGGGGAGCAAACAGGG